AGUUGAUUUAAGUUACUGAGACAAAAGCAAUGGUGACUGAGAUGAAACGUCGAUUUUGAUUAGAGUAUGAUACGGAGAAUAUCUAAGGUGCAGGCUGUAUUAUUACUCUUGGGAGCACAAGAAAUGACAAAUAGUGCCCCCACCUGACUUUUUUUUGCAGCAAAACUAUCAUGACAUUAUAGAAAUAAAUGAUCAUUCCAAAGUUCAAAGAUUUCACGAAGAUUUGCAUCACUUGUUAGGUUUCUUGAAAAACGAAAAGAGAGAUGUUUUGAGAAGAAAAUUUGUGUCAACCUGAAGAUUAUUAAUAGCAUGCACUGUCUUUCUGCUCAACCAGAAUAAUAACAAUGUUCGAUCUAUUCAACAUCGUAUCUAUUGCAGUUAUCAAUUUGUUGUUAUUAUAGUCCUCGAAUUGUGUUUUUCGGUAAAUCCUGCGCUGUUUUGAACUAAUUGUAUAUAUGGGCUCAGUUUUUGUAGAUUUUGACAACAGAAUUGAGUUGCUCGUGUUUGAAAACAUAGGGUUUAUUUAAAAUUUUCAUGAAAUGGAGUUCUACAACUCUUGGAAUUUAGAAACCAAGUUUGUGAACUUUAUAGGUCAAGUGCAGGGAAUUUUUGAAAUAUGACCAAACGGGAGUGAAUUUGGAGGAUUUUGAGUCCAAAACUGAAUUUCUUACAUUCAAUAACCUUUAGAAACCUAUAUGGUUUGUCCCAAUUGGAUUUCCACAUCAAUAGGAACGUUGAUUUUAAAAGUAUGUAAUUAAGUGCAAUUCCAAAUGAGAAAGUGUCUUAUAUGUGUAGAUGUGCAUGAAAAAUAUGAUAUGAAUUAGUGAAUGAAUUGCUUGUUUUGAUUGAGAAUUAUUAUGUGGAAUUGUUAUGAUUAAAUGUUGUAAGACCAAGUGAGUGUGAUCACUUGGCAAGACAUGUUUCAUGAUAUGAACUGUUAUGAUAUUGAUCAUGAACUGUUGUACUUUAGGAUUGGGUCUGGGGUGUCCGACCACUAAGUGUUAUUUGUUAUUAGAAUGUCUCAUGAUGAAUUAAUAUUUUGGAUUGGUAGUUAUGAAUGUGCAAGUGGUCUUGUUCACUUAAAAGGCCAUUUUGAUGAUGACCCUAGAGAGGAUUAUUUCCCCUCUUCUCUUGUAAUGUUUGUGUGUGUGUACACAACGAAGGAUACUUGUAGUCAGGGACAUCAUGAGGAUAGACAUGCAGUACAAGGAAAUUGCAGAAGAAUGAGGUAAUGUGUUUGUGUUAGAGUUAGAGGGAUUGUUGAAUUGGGAGUUGGUGCAUGACCUUAUACUCAAUUGGAAUAGAUACUCUAAUUUAUAUUCACUAGUAUCAACGCAUCAUUGUUUAUACUUCUCAUCAUGAAGAAUGAGCGAGAAUUCGUUAAGUGAAGGUGGAUGAUACACAGUAGGAACACUGGGGGACGAUUCAAAUGGUUCAAAGGAAUUUGGGGAAAUGUUGAGUGGUGAUAAUCGGACUAAGGGCAUUUUUCGGUUAGAUUGGGGGACUCAUUCGCCUCAUCACUUGGCAUUCCUAACUAGAAUAGAGUUGUAACCAUGGUUGGUGAGAACGUCAUGUCAUGUAUCGGCAUGUGACAUGUCCUCCCAAUCGUCAUCUAUAUGUUGCAUAAGACCAUGAAAGCUGGGAGGCUUAGUGGUAGUGUUGGGCCCAAGGUAAGAAUAAUGAGAGAGAAGAAUGCAGAAUAAGAUGUCAUGAGUGAUGUUUACUAGGUUAUGUGUGGGACUUAAUGUUCGUGUUUGUGGUUUUGAAAGGGAUGGAGUACUCACUCUCUUAUUACCAUUUUCAGAACCAGUUGAUAAGUCCAGCAUCGCAUCUCCCAUUCUACAUUGAUGUUAUUGAGACCAAGUGGGAACAUGAUGACAUGCUCCAUAUGGAUCACUUCUCUGAGUUCCUAUGUUGUUGUCGUAUACUAGAUGUUCAGGAGCUAGGAUUUGUAUCAUUCACUUUUUCUUUUCAUGGAACUAGACUACGUUGUCCUAUUGUCGCUUCGCGAUGCCCAUGCUUGAGGUUAUCAUUUUUGGGGCUUGGGUAUAGAUGACUGCUCUGAGAUUUUAGGUUUUGCCCUUAAUUGUAUUUUGGGGAUGGGUAGACCUAAGAUCAAACCUUUUGUAAUUAUUAGAACCAUUUUCAUUAUUAUUUUGGGUUGUAUUUGUUGCUCUCUAGUUUGUUUGAGACGUAUGUAUUUGGUUAACUCUUCUGGCAUAUGAUACCUAAUUAUUAUAUUUGAUGACCAUGGAGAUUCACUUGUUUAUUUUUGUUUAUUCAUUCUCUAAGCAUGUAUGAUUUAUUUUCAAUUUUGUUUUACUCGUUGACUCAAGUUUUAACGUGAUAGAGGACUAUCCAAGGAGGAAGAGCUUGGCUUGAGUGGCUCAACAUGGAUGGACCAAUCACUAGAGCAAGGAGUAAGAGAUUUCAAAAAGAGUUUGGUAAGAGGCUAAGUUCUCUUAUGGAAGAAAGAAAAGAAGAAGCAAAACUCAUAAAUUUUAGCAAACUUUUAGAAUAUGAUUUAUUUUCCCUUUUAAUUAUUUUGGACCUAUUUUCAGACUUGUAAUGGGUUGUCACAACCUUUUAUUGUUAUUUUCAAGUCUUUUAAUUAUUAUAUUAGUUAUUGGGCAUUGGGCCUAAUUUGGGGUUAUUAGUAGGAGUAUAAAUAGACUCCUUAAACACUUUGUGGACAAUAUUUGAUGAAAUUUUAGAUUAGAUACAGUUAA